rnacentral:ncRNA from 1 species
CCCGAUAAAGGUAAACCCUGAGCAAUCAGGGGGCGCAAAGUAAAGGGUCUUGCCAAGCCGUUGAAACAGUUUCAACGGCUUAAGCGGUUUUUUCUAAAAGACAGCCUUACUGCCGAAG